GACUUCAAGAUAAGAUUUCCCACCGCAAGGGUAAGACCCCAGAAAGACUAUCUGGUUGAUAGGUCGAAGGUGUAAGUGCAGCAAUGUAUUUAGCUUAUCGAUACUAAUAGGUCGAGGACUUGACCAAAUU
rnacentral:rRNA from 1 species